CAUUUCACAUGUUGAAUAAAGUAAACAAAAAAUUAAUAAAAAAACGAGCUCUUUGUUAGAUUGUGAAGAUAAAUAAAUGGAUUUCGAUUGAAGUACCAAAUAGAAAAUAGGGCGAAAAAAGUAUUUGGCCGGAGGUAUAAACAUGAAUUUCAAAAAAUACGUCCUGCAAAGACAGUAUGUUAUCACAAGAUUUCCGAUACGAAACCUCGGAAGAAGCAGUGUAUUUUCAAAGUUCAAUACCUCCUAGCAUAGCAGAAGGAUGAUCGUCCCCAAAAAAAGAAAUAACAAUCUGAGGAGUAUGCAGAAUCUAUUCGACGAAAAUGAUAUACCGUCCACAGAACAUAUCGCUAUAAACCAGCAUCAACGGUGGAUUAGACAGAUAAUUAAGCUAGCUUCGUCCAACAUUACUGGUAGAAUGAAGAGUUUGUGAUAGCAAGCUGAUCCUGAAACUGGUUCUGCUAGGAGAUACGAACGCCAGCCAGAACAUGAACACAGUACGAAAAGUGGAGGUAGCAGUAAUAUCAACAUUGCUUUCAUACAAACACAAUAGCAAAGACUAGAUAGUACUAUGAAGUUAAACAAGGAAGAUCUGUUAAGUUUGGUUUCAAGAGCGAAGGCGAAAUUUUAACGCCUCUAAUCGAAAUAUAUGAUCUAAUGUAUACUUUUUGAAGAUUUCGAAAAAACUCACAGGCAAAUCAUUAAGACACCGUGUACAUCCGCAUAAUUUCAUGUUGAAAAGCCGAAACAUAAAAUCAACAGUGAUGCAAUAACUACAACAAUAACACCUCUAAACAAAAUAUUUGAUUAAGACCAAAGUUUUUGACGCUUUUGGACAUCUGCACAAAUUGUAUCCAAUUUCAGUGAGGUGGCAGAAAAAUUAUUUCAAAUGAAUUACUGUCAUUUGAAUGAGUUCGAUUUGUUUUUAGGCACACGCCAAGAUCAGAAUUCCAUGUUUCUCCGUUCACAAUUGAUUGAUCCUUCGUCUUUGAUAACCAAGUAUGUUCGUCACAGUCCCUCUCAAUGUCUUUAUCAACAACUCUCCAUCGUUCCGGUCCUUUUCUAUAGUAACUUCUCGUUCCAUUUAUUUUAGUAUCGUUCGUUUUAGUUCAUACUUCCUAACUACCUUUCAGCUUGAUUAAUAGCGCCUUUCAGCAUUUAUUUGCUUAUUACUGGCAUAAAGUGUAAACACGAGGUCGUAUCAAUCAUUUCCUUGUUACCUUAAGUGCACUGACUUUGACUGUAUGGGUAAUGAUGAUGGAUAUAAGUUGGGGUUUUUCUUCCCCAAACACUGCAGCUUUUAAGCGUAUUGUACUUUACUACUUCCUUAUUUGAGUUCAAUCGACUCAUUCCUAAUUCUAAGAAGUCAUUCAUUGGCUGUCGUUGCUGCAUUUUCAUUAUCUGGACUUUCUUUCUAUCCCAGAUUAUAUACUGCAUGAAUUGUUGUCUAUACAAUUGAUUGUAUGUUCUGAGACUUUGUCUAUUUUCACAUUGGUUCCUAGCUAUUACAUUUUCUUAUUUAUUAUUCUUCCCGUACAAUUCACACGUAGUCCUAGAUCACCAAGUAGGUAAGUGACUCACAGACGGAUGUUCUAUCUUGCAUUUACAACCCCCAAAUAAUUUUUCCUUU